AAGCACAUUUCUUGUGUGACCGCGUACUUUUUGUAGAACGGGCCAACGAGUUACGUUAAGUAGCAAGGUUAAGCACUUAAGGUGUGGAGCCGUAGCGAAAGCGAGUUUUAACUGAGCGUUCAGUUACUUGACGUAGACCCGAAACCGGGCGACCUACCCAUGAGCAGGAUGAAGCGAAAGUAAAAUUUCGUGGAGGUCCGAACCCACGAGCGUUGAAAAGCUCGGGGAUGACUUGUGGGUAGCGGUGAAAUUCCAAUCGAGCCCGGAGAUAGCUGGUUCUCCCCGAAAUAGCUUUAGGGCUAGCCUCAAGGUGAGAGAUACGGAGGUAGAGCACUGAAUGUCCUAGGGGGUAUUGCACCUACCGAAGACUAUCAAACUCCGAAUGCCGUCAUCUU
rnacentral:rRNA from 1 species